rnacentral:lncRNA from 1 species
GAGAUUUAGGGUAUUUUUAGAAUAAAAGAAAAUAAUGGGGAGGUGUAGAGUAUUUGUGGAAUAAAAGAAAAUAGCGGGGAGGUGUAGGAGCACUUGGGGUGGUGGAGAGAGUAACACCCCAAUAAUUAUAAUUUGGCCCAUUCAAUAAAUUAAAAUUAUUGUUGGUCUCUACACAAUAUACCUUUCAUGACAAAUAUACACCCAGCUAUAUUUAUCUUAAUUAAAUCACUUUAUAAAGUUAACUAAUAAAA